GCAGUACAGAAGGGAAAGAGUGCGGUAGGGGAGUCGCGCGCCGUUAACGCCGCCUGGUGGGGUUAACGUCAGGGGCGUGAGCGAAGAAGGGGCGUCCCAGCGAGAGGGACAGAGAGACGGAGAUAGAGAGUGAAAAAGAGAAAGAGAGUUCUCUUAGCCUGCUCUAUACACCACCUCCGGCGGUACGUUGAGCUCCACGCGACUUCACGAGUGAAACAUUUCGCGGGUUUCGCGGGGAGCUUUUCCGCAAGACUCGCUGGUGGGAGGUUGAAGGUGGUGGAGGAGCGAAGGAAGGACAACGGUAUUCCCGUUAAUUGAACGACUCUCUCGCGUGGGGAAGGAGGUACCUGGAAGGGAGACGCGACACUCUCUACUCCGGAUCGAGAAGAGGGAGAAGGAUUACUCGCAGACCUAACCACCAGCUCAACCAGUUACCGCGGUUCAACUUUGCUGUUUUUCUUAGCUAGUAGAUGCGACUCUAGAUAAGAGUUUUGACAAGUGCGCCUGCGACCGUCUAUGGGGUGCCGACUAAACGACGAGCCAUGGCUCGAGGAACUCAGGGAGAGGCACGUACGAGUUAGUAAUGAACGAAGAGGAGACCAGAAAGUCGAUAGAUAUGCGAGAAGUGUUAUAAAUUUCCUGCGGAAACCUCUGAUUUUUAGUGGCAAUGAUUUUGCAGACGGACAUGACAUCCGCCUACGCUAGGCUACCAUGUAAGGUGCGUUUAUUUUGGCGACCUUUACGACGCGAGUUUACGAUCGCUUGAACGCUUUCGUGAACUUCGUAAUGAUUUUCGGAAGUUUGCGGAAAAAACAUCGAAGAGAAAAAAGUUUUUGGAUCGUUCGAGUCUAUCAGGGAGGUUUCACGGGAGAAACAAUAAAAUUCACUAAAUUAUUAGCCGUUAUCGUGGACGAGAGUAGAAACAGGAGAAAUAAGAAACAGAUUCCUCUGAAAAAUGAAAUAGUAUAAAAAACGAAACAACAACAUUCAACUAAUGUUGAGAAACGAUCGAAUAGCCAAAGAGGAGAAGGAGAGAAAGAGAGAAAAGGGACGCGAAAAGAGCGACGCGUAUCGUAGCUCACGGAGAAAGGAAUGGAAAGUUAAGAAAAGGAAAAGGUUCAACAGGGAUAAGUCCAACAGGAAUAUUGAAAGCCGGUCCUUCGAACGAGGCCAGCGAUCAAGAGAGCCAAUUAUUUCGAAGACCCACCACCACUACUCCAACCCUCACCCACCCGCUUUCUUUCUCCUUUCUUCUUCACCCCCGCAUACGCGUACUCACGUCGAACGUAUUUUUCCUACGUACCUUACGCGAAUACUCGAAGCGCACUCAAGCCACCAAAGUACUCACAUACGAAUAGUAUAUUCGAACGCGCGUUCGUUCGUUCCGUUUCGUUUCGUUUCGUUUCGUUUCGUUUCGUUCGUUUAUUCGAAGAGCACCGUAUACAUAAUACUUUCGUACGUAGAUAGAUACGUAUGUAGAGGUACAUUAUGCGAAUCGAGCCUCAUACAUCGUUUCCGUUCUAAUAAAGCUAAGGGUACCUUCUCGCGACCACCCCUAUUUCUCAAUCUCUUUUCCUCUCUUUCUUUGCUCCUGCAAACAUUUACUUUGUCAACAUUUCACUAAAAAUAUCGUUAACUUUUUGCACUUCAAACGUAUUUACUUGUUCAAUCGGAAAAUGUUUUUUAUUCAUUGAUGAACAAAUCAAAUAUUUUAUAUUUUUGAAUAUUUAUUUUCCAUUAGGGAUACAAUUUUACAAUGGAUACGUCGAUAUCGAAUCGACGAUUAAUGGAAAAUACCGGUAUUCGCGUACCUGUAUUGUGCUUUGGUAGAUUUUAAAAACGAAGGACUUUGUGGCGUAGUCUAAGUUAGAUUAUAUGGACCUACGGAGCAAUCUUAUGGAAUGGAGCUACUGAAAUCUUAAUUCGAGCAGGCGCGCUGUGCCAUUGGAUACGUCGAUGGGGGUGGCGCCUUUCAAAAGCGUCGCUUACAAGCACGUUACACACACGGUUAGGUAAUUAUAUUUACCUUUUCAACUAUAUUAUUUACGUCUGCUGCGAAGGGGUAGAGCCUUAUGGUUCCUCUCUCUCUCUUUCUCUCUUUCUCUUUUUUUUACCUCUUUUUUAUGUUGUAGGAAUGAAAAAUCAAUAUCUUUUCUUUAAGAACUAGAAAGCUUAUAUUAUUUUCUAUAUAAAACGUAAGCGGCUUAGGUGAUCUCUUAACUAUUUACAAAAUAAUUUUAUUUUAUACAUCCAUUUUUGAAAAUUCAGUAUCUCGAAAAAUUUGUACGUAACCAACACCGAGCAAACAAUUGCACAUUUUAAUAUGCAUUCAAAUGAGUUUCAUGAUUGCAACAACCUUGUUGGAAAAACUGUAACAAAAACUUUUAGCAGUAUCGAUGCGUAAACUCUUUUUUUGAAAAUAUAUGAGGACAAAUUAUACCAUGAAGUUGGGAUUAUAAUGAUGACAAAAGCAAGUUGUUGAUUAAUAGGGAAACAUUGAAAAAGAGCGGAUAACUAAAAAGAAAGAGCGUGUUCGGCCAUUUGAAUGAUAUAGAAAAUCGUAGUUAUAGCAAUAACUUUUUCGUAGAAGGAAAGAAAACAUUCAUAUUACGCAAGAUAAAAUUUGAAGAUCCACUUGAACGUGAUGAUCAAGUAGAACUUUGUAGAAUCGCACACGAUCAUUUUGGCGUGUGGGAAAGGGCAAGAGAGUGUGGGAAGGUUAAACGGGAACGAGUUAGAGAAAGGAUACGAUUCUGCUUGUCUCUGGGACGGAAGUGACGUCGCAGUCACCGGCGGAAAUUCGUACUGGAAAUUCCGAUGGGUUCGAGAGGUUGUGGGAGAAAGGUAAAGGGAGGGCAACAAUCAGGGUAGACCCGGUAUUACGCUCCAUUCAUCCCCUACUGACACCCCUUACCACCCUCGAACCGUAUUUGGCUGACAAUUCUUCAUUUGCGUGCAGCAAACUCUCUACUGUGUGUGCCACGACCGUAGCGAAAGGUUUAAACCGCUGGUUGGUUCACGUUCGAAAGAGGCUACUGAUCCGUCCCUAUCACGUGAUUUAACCUUUAUUCCUCAUAAUCGUGAAAGUAACCUUUGUUCUUGCUUUAAACUUUGGAGAUGAUUAUUUAUCUACUUUGGAUAACUGUUCUUAACGUUUAGUCUGCUAAGUCUGAUUACGCAUGAAUCUCGUUUCGAUAAUUUAUAAAGUGACAAAUAGUUAACAUUUACAACAUUUUUUAAUUUAAGUGGAACAAUAGAUUUAUAUAUCAACAUUACGCAAAUGAUCAAACUUGAUCUGUUGAAUGAUCAUCAUUUCAAGCUAUGAAAAUGGAAGUUUCCUUGUUAGACCAAACAGUUACCUAGUACGAGAUCUGGACAGACCAAGCACUAUUCUUUCUCGAGUUUUCCUACAAUCUUUUUGAUUGUUUGAACAAGAUGGCAAUUGAACUUGUCGAAGACAUCGCUGAGACAAGGUCAAACGGGCGUUUCGUAUCGCUCUGUAAGGUAUGUACAUAUGCACCGCACGCAUGUACAUUGUUGUCAUUUGAGAAAGUAAUUAUUUAAAAAAAUUGGAAAGGACAAAAAGAGCAUUAUCGUACCGUUCAUACUUUUAUAGAUUACAUAUAAACAUAAAUGAUUUGAUAAAUCAAUAUUUUGGUAUGUUUCAUCCAAAGGAAUCUGAAGAAAUCAUAAAAAUCAGGGUGAUAGUGAUAUAUAUAUAUAUAUACAGAGAGAGAGAGAGAGAGAGAGAGAGAGUCGUUUGUACGAGCAUCUCUUCAACUGUUAGGUGGUCCAAUUUGAGAAGGUGCUAUACCAUGAGAAAAAAAGGAAGCGGAAAGAGUAAGAGAAGUACCGUACAUGAGAGCCAACGGUAAGAGGGGAAAAAGGCAAGAGGAGGAACGUCAAAUUGAUCCAUAUUAAUAAGAACGGAGAUUCGCGUUGCCGGACUUUUGCAUAAAUUUGAAUCGGCCCUCAUACAGCUCGCGGCAAGGGUUGCGAAUUUGAAUAAUCGAGAAUAAUUUCGAAGUUUUCUCGUGCAAACGCGAGGUAGCGUGCGCGCGUCCGCGACUACGGACGUGAUCAGUCGACGUUUCGAAAUAUUUCCUAGUGUAACGCUUUUCUCUCUUCUUCCAUCUCUUUCCCCCACUCCAACACCAUCCACCACACAGCCAUCUCGUUCCGUCCAGUAGAUGUAGGUAAUUAACCGCAUGCACCAGCCAGAAUUGGAAAAAUACAGAACGCUUUAGAAAUCAGGCUGCGUUUCCGCUGUUUGUGGUUUUAAUAAAUUUUACGGACACCCGCGCGCGCCGCACGCUUUUUCCCUUUCUUCCCUUCUUUCUUUCCUUUCUUCCUUUCUUUUUUUUCCCCUCACCUCGGAAAAAGGAAUGUAGAGUAACUUUUACCAUACGCUGUCACGAAUCAAAAGUUUUUGGCUCUACGAAAGAGAUUAUUAACAUAUGAGGUUAGGAUGGACGAGACUCGGCGUACCGCGUGAUUCGUUUAAAAUAUGCUCGCCGAAGGCGACUGGACAUCUAGGGAAUUCGUACUGUUCAAAUACAAUUGGAUUUUGAUUUGGAGGAAUAGUGAAGAGUGUCUAUGAGAAAUUUGAUUUCCAGAUUGCAUAGAUUAUUACAAUUGAAUUGAACGUACAUAGAAAUACGGAUUAACAUACAUAUGAAAUAUAAUAAGUAUUAGAUAGUUAUUUUAAGUUACAGUAAAAUAGAAAAAGAAUGUAAUAAUAUUCUCUGUUGCUCUGGACAUGUAUUCUUUUGGCUUGUCAUUUUGGAUUAAAAAUUGAUUACUUCAAUUGGAAUCGCAUCGCGCUUUGACGCGUGUCGGACCGAAGAGAGGUAUGCUCGUUUCGUUCCAUCUCUUGGCAGAUUAAAGGCAAUCUUAUCACAUAGAAUGACGAGGUCGUGUGAUCGAUCACAAAAAGUAUGCAACGGAACUAUCGCGUCUCUAAGAGAAUAGACAAAGACGGACAUGUUCGAGGAACGGACCACCCGUUGAGAAUGAGGAAUGUGGAACUGUACCAGCAGGGACGGAGAUCAGUCUCUCUCUCUACAGUUUUGCUCUUCUACACAUUUCGAAUUAAAUUUAUUUCGACCAUGUCCUAUCUAUGAUACCUGUCCUUCAAAAUGACUCGAUAGUUUUACGAUUAAUCUUUUUUAAUAAUUCACACUUUUAAAGUAUUUCUAUUAUUUAAAAAGAAUGUAGAGUACGAAUAAAGUCUGUACGGAUGAUAGAUAAAUAAAUAACGCGAUAUGUACAUUCGUAGGAAUGAAAUUUUUCCUUUUACCAAAUCGCGUUCCUUCCGGGGCUCCCAGAAGUUGUUCCACAGUCCCUGGUCUCUCGUUCCGUAUGGUCUAUCCUAUUAUAAUGUCGACCAUGCACGUCUGUCGUCCGUAUGAUCUCCAGAGAGAUGGAAGAGUGUAAAACGUCGGGCAUCUGGGCAGAGAAAACGAUAGAGAAAGAGGAGGAGAGAGAUAGAGAUAGACAGUUUAGCUGGGCAUUGUGAGGAGACAAAUACGAGUUAAUACAUCAUCCAGGGACCUAUUCAAGCUCCAGGAACGACGUGAGUGGUGAUCACGAAUUGGUUGGUGUAUAAAUACCUUUUAAUUGCUAUCUCUCUUCUUCUCCCUGCCGGCCCUCGUUAUUCUUGUCUCUUUCUAUAUCUUUCUCUUUCAGCCACCUUCAUUGCGACGAGGAAACCCAGACGAUGAGAAAGUAUGACACAGAGAACAAGACUAAAAGAAGAAUUCUUUCCUUCUUGAUUAUCUUCAAAGUUCAUCAACCGCGGUGUUAUUCGGAUAAGGUUGAAACAAAAAUAAUUCUUCUUUUUUUUCAACGAAUAAUCCUGAUGAUUUUGGAACAUCAAGAGUUUUUUUUAUAUCCUAACUGCCUUUAAAGUUAUUGAAAAGAGACAGACAGAUAUAGAAAUAACAAUUAAUUUGUUUCGCAAUCCAAUCACCGAUACCUUUUAUCAAUGGGAUGACUUUCUUGGUUAAGAUAUUACGAAGCAAGUAACGUGUAUAGAGCAUUGAUAGAUGGAUUAAACUAAUUCGAACAUUACAAACAAACUUUAGCAAGGGCUUGUUUAAAGUUGUGUUAUUCAAGGCGCUAUACUCCAAUUAUGUGUACCGAAGCACUUUGAUCAUAGUCAUCCUCCGUGUUUAUCAUGAAGAUACCUCGAAGCAUUGGCAGCGAUCUUGGUGGAUUCUCUUUUGUAAUU